rnacentral:rRNA from 1 species
AUUGAACGCUGGCGGCAGGCCUAACACAUGCAAGUCGAGCGGAUGAAGGGAGCUUGCUCCUGGAUUCAGCGGCGGACGGGUGAGUAAUGCCUAGGAAUCUGCCUGGUAGUGGGGGCUAACGUCCGGACACGGGCGCUAAUACCGCAUACGUCCUGAGGGAGAAAGUGGGGGUUCUUCGGACCUCACGCUAUCAGAUGAGCCUAGGUCGGAUUAGCUAGUUGGUGGGGUAAAGGCCUACCAAGGCGACGAUCCGUAACUGGUCUGAGAGGAUGAUCAGUCACACUGGAACUGAGACACGGUCCAGACUCCUACGGGAGGCAGCAGUGGGGAAUAUUGGACAAUGGGCGAAAGCCUGAUCCAGCCAUGCCGCGUGUGUGAAGAAGGUCUUCGGAUUGUAAAGCACUUUAAGUUGGGAGGAAGGGCAGUAAGUUAAUACCUUGCUGUUUUGACGUUACCAACAGAAUAAGCACCGGCUAACUUCGUG